rfam:Clostridium bolteae CAG:59 genomic scaffold, scf105
GGAAGCUGUACGCGUUGCGGUGCAACGAUGGUUAAUGA